rnacentral:tRNA from 1 species
GGUGGUUCAGUGGUAGAGUAUUUGCCUUGCAUGCAUAAGGCCCUGGGUUCGAUUCCUCAGCACCA